rnacentral:rRNA from 1 species
AUUGAACGCUGGCGGCAGGCCUAACACAUGCAAGUCGAGCGGAUGAAGGGAGCUUGCUCCUGGAUUCAGCGGCGGACGGGUGAGUAAUGCCUAGGAAUCUGCCUGGUAGUGGGGGACAACGUUUCGAAAGGAACGCUAAUACCGCAUACGUCCUACGGGAGAAAGCAGGGGACCUUCGGGCCUUGCGCUAUCAGAUGAGCCUAGGUCAGAUUAGCUAGUUGGUGAGGUAAUGGCUCACCAAGGCGACGAUCCGUAACUGGUCUGAGAGGAUGAUCAGUCACACUGGAACUGAGACACGGUCCAGACUCCUACGGGAGGCAGCAGUGGGGAAUAUUGGACAAUGGGCGAAAGCCUGAUCCAGCCAUGCCGCGUGUGUGAAGAAGGUCUUCGGAUUGUAAACUUCUUUUGACGGGGAUGAAUGCCUGCGUGAAUAACGCAGGGUGACAGUACUCGUUGAAUAAGCCACGGCUAACUACGUGCCAGCAGCCGCCGUAACAC